rnacentral:misc_RNA from 1 species
CCGAGUUUUCAACUCCUAAACCCACUGUGAACAUACCCAUAUGUUGCUUCGGCGGUGUCGUCCCAGGUGCCGUGUGCCCUGGACCCAGGCGCCCGCCGGAGGUAUUCAAACUCUUGUCUUUUUAUAAGGAUUUCUGAGUGGCGCAAGCCAACAAGAUUUAAUAAAUCA